UCCUUGUUUCCAAGGCAGUCCCAUCAGAGUGCUCCCGAAGGUAGCAACUGACGGCAAAGGUUGCGCUCGUUAAAGGACUUAACCCAACAUCUCACGACACGAGCUGACGACAGCCAUGCAGCACCUGUGUAUCCGUCCAGGUUACCCCGGAACCCACUGUUUCUAGUGGUAGCAAAUACAUGUCAAGCCUAGGUAAGGUUUCUCGCGUAGUGUCGAAUUAAACCACAUGUUCCACCGCUUGUGCGGACCCCCGUCAAUUUCUUUGAGUUUUAGCCUUGCGACCGUACUCCCCAGGCGGCUCACUUAUCGCGUUAGCUUCAACACCGAAUCUGCAAGCAGAUCCAACAUUUAGUGAGCAUCGUUUACAGCGUGGACUAC
rnacentral:misc_RNA from 1 species